rnacentral:lncRNA from 1 species
AUUGCUCUGUGGCUGAGCUGACCCAGCCCCAGGCCUGCUGGGUAGCGUGUGCAAGAUCCCUCAGCCCUUGAGUGAGCUCAGCUGCAUGCCCAGCUCCAGGAGAGAAACCUCACUGCAAUUGAUUUAAACACAAGAACUGCUAACUGGCUGUUCCUCUGCAGGAGACAUCAGGGUGGCCGGUGACCUGAAGGUAGAGCCGU